rnacentral:rRNA from 1 species
CAGUGGCGAACGGGUGAGUAACACGUGGGCAAUCUGCCCUGCACUCUGGGACAAGCCCUGGAAACGGGGUCUAAUACCGGAUAUGACCAUUGACCGCAUGGUUGGUGGUGUAAAGCUCCGGCGGUGCAGGAUGAGCCCGCGGCCUAUCAGCUUGUUGGUGGGGUGAUGGCCUACCAAGGCGACGACGGGUAGCCGGCCUGAGAGGGCGACCGGCCACACUGGGACUGAGACACGGCCCAGACUCCUACGGGAGGCAGCAGUGGGGAAUAUUGCACAAUGGGCGAAAGCCUGAUGCAGCGACGCCGCGUGAGGGAUGACGGCCUUCGGGUUGUAAACCUCUUUCAGCAGGGAAGAAGCGCAAGUGACGGUACCUGCAGAAGAAGCACCGGCUAACUACGUGCCAGCAGCCGCGGUAAUACGUAGGGUGCGAGCGUUGUCCGGAAUUAUUGGGCGUAAAGAGCUCGUAGGCGGCUUGUCGCGUCGGAUGUGAAAGCCCGGGGCUUAACUCCGGGUCC